AGCGAACGCUGGCGGCAUGCUUAACACAUGCAAGUCGCACGAAGGCUUCGGCCUUAGUGGCGGACGGGUGAGUAACGCGUAGGAAUCUAUCCAUGGGUGGGGGGAUAACACUGGGAAACUGGUGCUAAUACCGCAUGAUACCUGAGGGUCAAAGGCGCAAGUCGCCUGUGGAGGAGCCUGCGUUCGAUUAGCUAGUUGGUGGGGUAAAAGGCCUACCAAGGCGAUGAUCG
rnacentral:rRNA from 1 species